CUGCUGGACCGUAACUGACGUUGAUGCUCGAAAGUGUGGGUAUCAAACAGGAUUAGAUACCCUGGUAGUCCACACGGUAAACGAUGGAUACUCGCUGUUGGCGAUACACGGUCAGCGGCCAAGCGAAAGCAUUAAGUAUCCCACCUGGGGAGUACGCCGGCAACGGUGAAACUCAAAGGAAUUGACGGGGGCCCGCACAAGCGGAGGAACAUGUGG
rnacentral:rRNA from 1 species